GUCAGGGUGGCUUUGGCCACAACUUAGAACAACUGAGGGAGGUUCACAUUUUGAUCUGUGUGGGCCCGUUUGCUUUAGUUGGCAGGUCAUCGUUUGGAGCAAACAGCAGGCUAACAAGACCCAAGUGUACCCCGCAAGAGCUCACUUCUUGACUUUGCCCUGAGCAGCCACCGCCUCCAUGGCCUUCCUCACGGUCUCCUCGUCGCCCAGGAAUGACAUGGGCUUGACGGGCUUCAGGUUUGCGUCCAGCUCGUAGACGAUGGGAAUUCCCGUGGGGAGGUUCAGUUCCAUGAUGGCGGCGUCGGACAUCCCUGGUAGAAAAAAAAAAGUAACAUAAACGCGCGAUGACAUCAUUCCAGAAAGGGAGGGCGCGGGCGAUGGUGUCCUUGAGUGACUCACAGUUCACCUCACUGAUGAUGGAGUGGUAAGGGUGGUCCUUGUCCAUGGGUGGAGGCGGGAUGUCAAAGGAACGGCGCCAAAUCUUCACCUGCUCCUCGCCGUGCUUGGCGGCCGUCUCUGCCUUGUUGAGCCCAGUGAGGCCUCCGUAGUGGCGCUCGUUGAGGCGCCAGAGGUGUAGCAGAUGUCGAACUUCAUGCCGGCGUCUUUGAUGGCCUUCGCCCCCCGGGUCGCCUCCUCCACGCCUUUCUCGCUGAGGUCGGCGUCGAACCAGCCGCAGAAGCGAUUCUCCUGGUUCCAGGCGCUCUCCCCGUGGCGGACGAUAACCAGGCGAUGAACAGCGGCCAUGUUUGAAGCGAUUUUACCGGCUGUGACUGGCAAGCCCCCUUCCCGUUACACCUGUGAGAAGCCUUCUUACUGCAACCGACAUGCACGGUUGGCCAAUAGGAGCAGACGCCCGCGUGUGCUGCCCGUGAAGGCCAAAGGCCGGGGUGGAGCAGAAGAGUGCAAAGGAUGAGGAGGGAAACGACUGCAGGCUGCUGCUGCUGCUGCUGCUGCUGCCCUGUCUGCUGGAGAUUGCUGGAUGCCGAGUCAUCAGUGACUGUGGAGAAUCGAGUGCAUGACCUCGAUGAAAAGACAGCUGCAAUGCAGGGGACUAAGGCAGAAAUUGAAAAUGGAACUGGCGGAACACCGGAUGGAAAACGAAAACCGUCCCACUGUCAAGAUGGCUCUUUACAUUGAGUUUUCUGCACGCCACACACCCAGUUAACAGAGGGCGUCCCCCUCCCACUUCUCACGGGGAUAAAGAAGAGGUGGUGAAAUUCAAAGACAUGAAACAUCGCGUCUAAAAAGGAUUUGCAGCAAACAACAUUCAGAUGUACGAUAUUGCUGCUACGCUAUCACGUCCACAUGGAUCCACACUCCGCAGCGUCCUGGGAUGGAUGAAAAGCAGAAAGGAGUCAAGGUUAUGGGAAGAUGUCGAAAGGUAAGCGUGGUGUGACGGGAUGUGGAUGUCGUGCGGUGAUGUUAGUCGGCGCUUCUGCGGGACGACGAUGCCGUGUACAGUGGCAGGGAACAAAUGAGCAACAAGGGUGUGCGUGUAUGGCAGUGUGGGGGGGGGGGGUGCAUAGGUGAGGAGAAAGGGAGGGGUUACACUGCAGUUUAUCUGCAAUGCAUCACCAGCUCUCUCACUCGGCCUCACUCCGUGUAUGUCGAUUGAGAGGAUGCGUCUUUCUGACUCAUUGACAUUUUUUUUAUUUUGCAGGUAACAAUACGCAUCACAUAUGUAAGUUAAAGGCUGUUUUUCUCAACAACAAGAAUGGAACUGUUCACUUCAUGUGCCGUGGGACCAUAUUUGGUCACUUGGGUCAAAAAGGCAGCCGACAGCCAAGUGAAUGCCAAGAUGAUAACUGCAAGUUCUCUGUACUGUCAUUUAAAAAAUACGAACAAAACACAAUUAAUAUGACUUGAAAUGAUUUUAUGUACCUCUGCAUUUAAUUAAAUGUGAUUUAAAUUGCUGGCAUAUAUAGAAUGGCUCCUUACAUCUUUUGAGUAGCAUAUGCGUUACAAAUUUAAUUCAAAUGAUCAGAUUUAAUAAUCCCUUCCCUUUGAGUACAUUAAGUAGAAUGUAACUUUGCUCAGAAUUAAAGUCAAAAGUUACAUAAAGUUAAAUUAUAGUAAGUUUAAAAUGCCCCUGAUUAAUCCCAAAUUAAGUUUAACUGUUCAAUUAGGCUUUUCCUGUAUUUUUUUUUAAAUAAAUGUGUUAUCUCGUAAG